GUGUUCAGAGAGUGGGUGUGGGUUCAGUUUAAUGGCGGACGGACCUGCCGAGGUAGAGCGGCUCGUGGAGGACGCAGAGGUCGAUGCCGGCGACGAACAUCUGCGCCAGCGGGCUGAAGGCGGCGGUGAACACCGGCCCCCGCUUCUCCACGCAGUAGGUCAGCAGCAGGAGUCGACGUAUGGACCGGAUCUCGCGUGCCCACGUACGCAGUAGACGACGGCGGCGAUCUCGACGGUGCCGCGGAGCCGCCAGGCGGCGACGCCGGCGCCCCACUGCGUGGACAGCGCCAGCGCCGCCGCCUGCGCGAAGCUGAGCAGCGACAUGAGCGCCGUGGCCGAGUACACGGCCGGGUACAGCCGCGUGAGCCGCCGCUGCAGCAGCAGCCACCCCGCGAACCCCACCACGUUCGCCAGCAUCGACGCCGACCCCAGCACCCACCGCACCGCGCUCCGGUGCUGCUCCUCCUCGCCGGCCGCCGCCGCCGACGGAGGCAGGUGGUGGAGGUGGUGGUGGGUGAGGGACGCGCCCUUGUAGAAGAAACAAAGGAGGAACAUUUACCCACCCGAAAGCGAGUGAUAUCAGGAAGGUAACCACCGGGAGCAGAUUGCCGAAAGUCGCAGCAAAUGUUGCGGUCGUGUACUCCAGCCCGACGAAGAGCGUGUACUGAAGCAGCACCGGGCCGAGGAUUCCACUCAGGAACAGGUAUCCAAAGAUUUCAGCAGUGAUCUUUGGUCUUGUCUUCCUGAAAGGAGGAAAGAAAGAAAAAAAGCCAGCGCAAGCUCAUGAUCAGCGACAGUGAAAUACCAACGACGACUACUGGCAAUGGGGCCAAGGAAUACAGUGGCCAGCAUCUGCCUGAAAGUGAUGAGGACCAGCCGGUUCAUCCCCUGGUUCAGCGCCUGCUUGAGCAGCGCGGUCAUGACGGCGAUCACGACGUUCGUCGCCACCAUCGCCACCGUCGGCAUCCACUGCUCCACGCAUCCUGCACUCCACAUUUUUCUCAGUCUGUUCGUCCGCCUCGAUGAUCUGAUGGGCAAUUUGUUUCUGGUUAUGCCAUGGUUUUUAUAGGGGUGGUGACAGGCGAAGGUCCGGAAAAUGGCAUCUGAAGGCAUGUCUCCGACUCGCGGUUUCGUUUUCGCACACGUGACUGUGAGCUAAAACAUGGCCCGGGGGAGAGGAGCACAUCGUUUGUUCUCUUAAUGUCUGAAUAAUUGUGGAAAAUUUGCCGCAUCGAGCAAAUUGCGCACCCAGCUGAAUCGAAUAGCUGCCUCUUUAUUGCACAGUGUGAAGGAACAAAGUGGUACUGUCGCCGAGGCAUCCCUGCUCUUUCCCCACAGCAGAAUAUAGAGGCCCAUUAUCAUCAGUAUGGAUCCCAGUACACUGCAAGGCCAAAACAAAAAAUACAAAAGGUGAUGCCAUUUGGACCAGCCAUUGCAGUUCUGCAAGUGCAUAAGUGGAUAGACUCACUCUAAACUGAAAAGAUUAAGCAUUAUUUAUUUCAGUAUGAGAAAUGAAUGAAUGAAUGAUCAUGAGAUUGUACUGAUUUA